CCAAUGAAGGGCCAUGGAGGGGCGGAGGAAGGGCUCCUCCCUUCGGUUCCCUUGUUUCAUUCGAAACAAGGGUGUCGGUGAAUGAGUUUUGGGCUGGUUUCUAGGCAAAGCCUUGGCCUGGGCCCAAGUUAGAUCCCGACAUGGAUCUGAUCUUGACUUGGUAUAGCCCCAACAAAUUUGUGCCCUAGAUCUAAUCUCUCCAUCCUCUUCUUUUCUUUCCGGUGGACAAUGGAAGUGUGGUAGGUGGCGAACGACCCCUCCCUCUCUCUCGGUUCCUCUCUCUUCAUGGAGCACUGGAGGUUAAGGAGGGUGAUAGGUUUCUUUUUGGGAUCCUAAUUUAAGUUUGAUUGACAAUAGAGAUUUAGUUUAAGAGUCCAAGUUCAUUCGGGAUUGGCUACCUCGUAUUUCCUCUUUUGCUUUUUCUUAUGUUUGCAAGACAGUUAUGAAUCUAUAAAUAUGUAGUGCCUUAAGGGCCUUCUAGACAAAAAUCAAUUUAAUAAAAUAAGCUUAAAGGCUUUUGGAGGUGCCAAU
rnacentral:lncRNA from 1 species